GACGAGCGCUGGCGGCGUGCUUAACACAUGCAAGUCGAACGGAAAGGCCCUGCUUUUGUGGGGUGCUCGAGUGGCGAACGGGUGAGUAACACGUGAGUAACCUGCCCUUGACUUUGGGAUAACUUCAGGAAACUGGGGCUAAUACCGGAUAGGAGCUCCUGCUGCAUGGUGGGGGUUGGAAAGUUUCGGCGGUUGGGGAUGGACUCGCGGCUUAUCAGCUUGUUGGUGGGGUAGUGGCUUACCAAGGCUUUGACGGGUAGCCGGCCUGAGAGGGUGACUGGCCACAUUGGGACUGAGAUACGGCCCAGACUCCUACGGGAGGCAGCAGUGGGGAAUAUUGCACAAUGGGCGGAAGCCUGAUGCAGCAACGCCGCGUGCGGGAUGACGGCCUUCGGGUUAUAAACCGCUUUCGCCUGUGACGAAGCGUGAGUGACGGUAAUGGGUAAAGAAGCACCGGCUAACUACGUG
rnacentral:rRNA from 1 species